GAUGAACGCUGGCGGCGUGCCUAAUACAUGCAAGUCGAGCGAACAGACGAGGAGCUUGCUCCUCUGACGUUAGCGGCGGACGGGUGAGUAACACGUGGAUAACCUACCUAUAAGACUGGGAUAACUUCGGGAAACCGGAGCUAAUACCGGAUAACAUGUUGAACCACAUGGUUCAACAGUGAAAGACGGUCUUGCUGUCACUUAUAGAUGGAUCCGCGCCGCAUUAGCUAGUUGGUAAGGUAACGGCUUACCAAGGCAACGAUGCGUAGCCGACCUGAGAGAGUGAUCGGCCACACUGGAACUGAGACACGGUCCAGACUCCUACGGGAGGCAGCAGUAGGGAAUCUUCCGCAAUGGGCGAAAGCCUGACGGAGCAACGCCGCGUGAGUGAAGAAGGUCUUCGGAUCGUAAAACUCUGUUAUUAGGGAAGAACAAAUGUGUAAGUAACUAUGCACGUCUUGACGGUACCUAAUCAGAAAGCCACGGCUAACUACGUG
rnacentral:rRNA from 1 species